GACGAACGCUGGCGGCGUGCUUAACACAUGCAAGUCGAACGAAGUGGCGAACGGGUGAGUAACGCGUAAUCAACCUGCUCUUCAGAGGGGGACAACAGUUGGAAACGACUGCUAAUACCGCAUACUGAAGGAGGGGAUUGCGUCUGAUUAGCUAGUUGGAGGGGUAACGGCCCACCAAGGCGAUGAUCAGUAGCCGGUCUGAGGAGAGUGACCGCCACAUUGGGACUGGGCAACGGGCCAGACUCCUAAGGGGGGCAGCAGUGGGGAAACUUCCGCAAUGGACGAAAGUCUGACGGAGCAACGCCGGGGGGGUGGUGGCGGCCUUCGGGUUGUAAAGCUCUGUUAAUCGGGACGCGGUACCGGAAUAGAAAGCCACGGCUAACUACGUGCCAGCCGCCGCGGUAAUAC
rnacentral:rRNA from 1 species